GAGGGUGUAGCUCAGUGGCAGAGUGCAUGUUUAGCACCAUGAAGGUCUUGGGUUCAAUCCCCAGUACCUCCA
rnacentral:tRNA from 1 species